GGCCCAGACUCCUACGGGAGGCAGCAGUAGGGAAUUUUCGGCAAUGGGGGAAACCCUGACCGAGCAACGCCGCGUGAAGGAAGAAGUAAUUCGUUAUGUAAACUUCUGUCAUAGAGGAAGAACGGUGGAUAUAGGGAAUGAUAUCCAAGUGACGGUACUCUAUAAGAAAGCCACGGCUAACUACGUGCCAGCAGCCGCGGUAAUACGUAGGUGGCGAGCGUUAUCCGGAAUUAUUGGGCGUAAAGAGGGAGCAGGCGGCACUAAGGGUCUGUGGUGAAAGAUCGAAGCUUAACUUCGGUAAGCCAUGGAAACCGUAGAGCUAGAGUGUGUGAGAGGAUCGUGGAAUUCCAUGUGUAGCGGUGAAAUGCGUAGAUAUAUGGAGGAACACCAGUGGCGAAGGCGACGAUCUGGCGCAUAACUGACGCUCAGUCCCGAAAGCGUGGGGAGCAAAUAGGAUUAGAUACCCUAGUAGUCCACGCCGUAAACGAUGAGUACUAAGUGUUGGGUGUCAAAGCUCAGUGCUGCAGUUAACGCAAUAAGUACUCCGCCUGAGUAGUACGUUCGCAAGAAUGAAACUCAAAGGAAUUGACGGGGGCCCGCACAAGCGGUGGAGCAUGUGGUUUAAUUCGAAGCAACGCGAAGAACCUUACCAGGUCUUGACAUCGAUCUAAAGGCUCCAGAGAUGGAGAGAUAGCUAUAGAGAAGACAGGUGGUGCAUGGUUGUCGUCAGCUCGUGUCGUGAGAUGUUGGGUUAAGUCCCGCAACGAGCGCAACCCCUGUUGCCAGUUGCCAGCAUUAAGUUGGGGACUCUGGCGAGACUGCCGGUGACAAGCCGGAGGAAGGCGGGGAUGACGUCAAAUCAUCAUGCCCCUUAUGACCUGGGCUACACACGUGCUACAAUGGACAGAGCAGAGGGAAGCGAAGCCGCGAGGUGGAGCGAAACCCAUAAAACUGUUCUCAGUUCGGACUGCAGUCUGCAACUCGACUGCACGAAGAUGGAAUCGCUAGUAAUCGCGAAUCAGCAUGUCGCGGUGAAUACGUUCUCGGGCCUUGUACACACCGCCCGUCACACCAUGAGAGUCGGUAACACCCGAAGCCGGUGGCCUAACCGCAAGGAAGGAGCUGUCUAAGGUGGGACUGAUGAUUGGGGUGAAGUCGUAACAAGGUAUCCCUACGGGAACGUGGGGAUG
rnacentral:rRNA from 1 species